rnacentral:rRNA from 1 species
UGCGUAGGUGGUAUGGCAAGUCAGAAGUGAAAGGCUGGGGGCUCAACCCCGGGACUGCUUUUGAAACUGUCAAACUAGAGUACAGGAGAGGAAAGCGGAAUUCCUAGUGUAGCGGUGAAAUGCGUAGAUAUUAGGAGGAACACCAGUGGCGAAGGCGGCUUUCUGGACUGAAACUGACACUGAGGCACGAAAGCGUGGGGAGCAAACA